UCAAACUUGGUCAUUUAGAGGAAGUAAAAGUCGUAACAAGGUUUCCGUAGGUGAACCUGCGGAAGGAUCAUUAAUAAAGUUUGAUGAUAUAAUUCUUUUUAUAUCAAUCACAUCUGACUUUGUGGUAAUAUUGAAGUAAAAGCUUUUCUGCAAAGAAAAGUGAAAAGAGGUAAUGUGAAAAGGUUAAUUGAUAAUUGUGUAAAAAGCAAUGAACAAAAAAUCUUUUUCGACCUCUAAACUUUAACAAUAAACUCUUUUUUUUUUUACUUGACUGAAAUAAAAUUAAAAAUUAGAUUUUAUAUCUGAUUAAAAUUUUAAACAACUUUCAACAACGGAUCUCUUGGUUCUCGCAUCGAUGAAGAACGCAGC
rnacentral:misc_RNA from 1 species